GUAGCCCAUUUCUCCUUCCCCCUCCGUCUUCCCCGCAUCCGACAGAGAGAGAGAGCGGCGCCGCCCGUGGCGUCGAGCUCCCAGCCAGCAUCCAAGGCGGCGCGCAGGCUGCGCUCGCCGGAGCAGCGUGCUGGGACCCUAUAUAUCCCGCGCGCUCCUUCGUCGAGUGUGGCCACCGACGCCGCACCUUCAGGCGACGACGGCGACGGGCGGCGUGAAAGCCAACGCCGUCUCGUCCAUUCCGCGCGCCCUCGCCCUCGCGCAGCAGGUCCCCGAAGGGUUAGGCAAUGGCACGGCGGCGUCCUCCGGUGAUACGGGGCGGGAGUGUUGGCAGUGGCGGCAGCAGCAUGUAUUAUGAACCUCGCUACGCAUGUACUUAACCGAUUACUCCCAGAUACUCUUUCAACCUUUUUAUACUUGAUUGGUGCAUAUCCUUUUCUACUAAACUGUUCUUUGGAUGAGUAGCCAUUCAAAGAGAUGGAAGAGUUUCACCUUACAAGCUUAGUAGUUUGUUGGUGGUCCACUCUCAACCUCUCUGUGCAUAUAUAGAUCUCGGUUGCUACAUGCGAAUGUGAUGGUGUAAAUAGAAAAAAAAUCAUUUUCAUUUUUCAUAGGUAUAGUCCAUACAACUUCACCUCUCGCUAAAUUAUAGUCGUAGAACACUGAUGAGUUCUAUUAAUAUAUGGCCGCAGAUGAAUUGUUGAUGACCUCCCAUAAUUCUUGUAGAUAUAUGGCCGGUCUUGAAUUAAUAUAGUGGCUGCAUCCAAAGAGGCUUUAUUUUUAGAGGGUGUAAAAGGUGGAAUCGACUCAUUUUAAUUUGUCAUAAAUACUAGAAUAUGUAUUUUUCAAUCUCAGCUAUCUCCCAAGUUUGGUUUUCAAAGUAGUUUAUCUUCCUAAUCAAUUUAUAUACUUCCUCUGUCCUCUUAUGAUGGACGCUUACACAUUUCAAAAUUUUACUUUGACCGUUAAUUACAUCUACUUCCUCCGUCACAUAUUAAGUGACUUUCUAUUACAUGUAUCUAGACGCUUUUUAGACAUAGAUACAUCCAUAUUUUGACAAAUUUGAGUCACUUAAUAUGAGACAAAGGGGGAGUAUAAUACAUGUGUUAUGUGGUGUAAAAAUUAUAUCAUCGAAAGCUUCUUUCAAGUACGAAUACAAUGAUAUGAUUUUCAUGGCACAUAAAAAACAUAUUAUCUAUCGAAUUAGCGGGCAAAGUUAAAAAUUUAAAUACGUGCAGAUCCACUAUAACAGAACAUGAGUACUUGUACCGAUUCAAUUUGUGCUUGACCCAUGGCUAUCACGCAUGUCACUUGUUUGAUGCGUAGACACUACGCAACAUAUAAAAGAGUAGAAUGCAAGUAAUUUUGAGUCUUAGAUGUUGGUACAUCUUUCUAUAAACUUGUCAAAGUUUAAAAUGUUUGACUUGGGACAAAGCUAGGACUUCAAACAUUUAGAAACGGAGGGAGUACAUGCAAAAUCAAAGAAAGAACUGGUCUAUGGCUUGCACAACAAGUUUGGAAAGCUCCAUACUACAUAUUCCACGUUCUGGACAUGACAGGCUUAUUGAAAAAACACGAAAGAUACAUGGUGCAACAAUGUUAACAAAGUAACAUUGUCCACUACAAAGAUAAAGGGCCAGUUCUUUUCGGCUUCUUGGACCGGCUUCUCCGAGAAGCUGCUCUCCCCCAGCUUCCUGGAGAAGCCGCCACCUAAAUUUGAUUAGGCUACCAAACUAGUUUGGGCUAAACUACUUUGGAAGUCAACCUAAAUCUGUGAUGUGGCAUCUCCAGGAAAUUAGGUGAGGGCAGCUUCUACGAGAAGCCGGAGAAGCCGAAAAGAACGCAGCCAAAUAGUAUAGAGAAAUUCCAAACUGAGAUGUUCGGAUGCGUGUCUUUGUAGGCAGAUAAGUAGAUGUCUACUCGAUCUUGUUACAUGGAAAAUGGCUUCAGAAACUGAUUGCUAACAUGCUCUUCAAGGAGCUUGUUGUAUGUGAAUGCAUCUUUCCUGUCAUCGUAGUACAAGUGCAUGCUAAUCGUCAUGUUUAUUACCCGCUGCACUGCUGGGAGCAGCGCGCGAUAUUCAAAGAGAGCCUGAUUCGUGGUUUUCCAUUCAUCCAGUGAAUUGAUCCUGGCAAAGGCAUCCUCACUCGUGAGUCUAUGCUCACUGAUAUAACAUUCUACAGAACUUUCUAUAUCCCCCCUGUUCUUUCCGCGCUGCAUGUUCAUACAGUAAGAUUAAUUAGAUAAACUAUAUAUCAUUGCAUACUAUAAAAUUACUUUAGUCAGACAUUACUUUGAAUGCAGCGAUGUCAUUCAGAAAAUGCCCAAUCUUUGCGCCUGCUAUGACUACAUCAGGUCUGUCAAAAGCCCACCCCACUGCUUCUUUUGUUAUUGAACCACCCAUGCCAACCAUGUAACCACAGACAGCAAUGGCAUGGCAGAGGACAUUACUGAAAGAUUAACUUGAUCCAUAAAACAUGGCUUGUGAUUCUGGUGUACCCAUUCGGCUUCUUGUAGAUAGUAAGUGGACUGGUUUUGGAACUGCAAGUAGGCCUGGUAAUGGUGCGGUCUCGUUUGGUUUUUCUGGUGUGGAAACACACUUGGUUCCGGUUGGUCUGGGCUCGAUUGGUUUGAGAUUAAAAGCGGUCUGGAUCGGUAUGGUUUUAGUCAAAUUGCGGUUCGGAACGGUUUGGUUCGGGCUGCAGCAGCCCAGCAAGGCCACUGGGCCACUCUCCCUUCCCCCGCCGAUGCCUCCGGCCGCCGUCGCAUCCAUCGUCGCCCUUCCACUUCCCUCACGUCGGCCGCUCGCUCAUCCAGCCCAGAGAAGCCCCUUCGCCCCAGCUCGGUCGUGGCUGGCAUCUAAGGGGACGGUGGACUUGGAUCGCUGCCGGUGGGGAUAGAAGAUCCCAGCCGCUGCUAGGCAGAGAAUAGAAGGGAAGAGAGGAUAGCAGGGAAUAGGAGAUCCUAUAUGUAAGAGAGGGGGAUGCGACGGGCAGAGGAGAUCGAUGGGAAAAACAGAAGGCCGGCGAGCAGGGAAGAGGAGAUCGGCGGCUAGAGCUGGGGCACAAUCAGUUUUCAACUGUCUUCCUCCCCAACUAAAGGUAUAUACCCUAAAAACUUCAGCAAUCAGCCUAAUUAAUGGUAGAUCUGUGUGCUCAGUGUUGAUGUGUCGAUGGCAGGUUUGUGUAUAUAUUGUGUAUUUCAGCCGUUCUCUGUUCAUACUUGUUGCCCCUUUUGAUCGAUUUUUUUAUUGUGAAUGGUUAAUGAUGCAUGGACAGCAGAUAAUAUGUUGAUACGAUUAUGUGCAGAAUCUUGAAAUCUGAUAUUCCAUGAAGCUUUUUUGCAAUACUCAAGUUGUCCUGAAGUUGUCUGAAUCUUUUGGUUGUCUGAAUCUUUAAGUUGCUGUAUGAUAUAUAACUAUUGGCAUAUAACAUAAGUUAUCUGAAUCUUUAAGCUGUGUUCUUGAACUUGACAUAUAAGUUAUCUGAAUCUUUAAGCUGUGUUCUUGAACUUGACAUUUUACGCUGCGACAAUUUAAGAUUCCAAUUUGAUAAGCUCAUUCAUUGUUGUACAGGACGUCUAUAAGAAUAUAUCUUCCACAAUUUUGGGUUUAGUUCAAGACCUUAACGUUGCUGUUUUUGCUUAUGGUUACUAUACUGGAUGAGGAUGAUCAACAUGGGCGUCAGGGUUAGCAGUUGAUGGAAUCAUUAUUGUCUUCAUUAAAAUAGACCCUUGAUGAAUCUUCAGAAGGACUAUAUAUAGUUUCUAAUGUAAUAAUAUAUGAAGUUUGACGAUGAUUUCAUUAAAAUAGACCAGUGACCACUGAAGA